UACGAAGGGGGCUAGCGUUGCUCGGAAUUACUGGGCGUAAAGGGCGCGUAGGCGGCCGAUCAAGUCAGGCGUGAAAUUCCCGGGCUCAACCUGGGGGCUGCGCUUGAGACUGGUUGGCUAGAGGCCGAGAGAGGGUGGUGGAAUUCCCAGUGUAGAGGUGAAAUUCGUAGAUAUUGGGAAGAACACCGGUGGCGAAGGCGGCCUUCUGGACAGUGACUGACGCUGAGACGCGAAAGCGUGGGGAGCAAACAGG
rnacentral:rRNA from 1 species